rnacentral:lncRNA from 1 species
GAGAAGUAAAGACAAAGGUUUUUGGCGUGAUUUUUGCUCAAAGGACUCGAGUGAAACAGGGUGGAGCCUCAGAAGAGACGAAAAUGGAGAAUGAUCAGCCAAGCCAACGGUGAACCAUUUCACAACAGCAUCAUCAGUGUAAGCGACAUUCUUCCUAGGGAAAUUCUUUUCCUUUCUCUUCUGCUGAUCACCUCCAAACGAAUUGAGAUUUACUUUUUUCCUGAAGCUAGGUAACAGAUGAGUCUCCAGUGCCGGAGUUGGCUCCGGCAACGGCAAACCUUUUGAGUGCCUCUUGUGCGGUGGAAUAUAAGCCAUGCCCAACUAUGUAUGAUCGAUCAGUUGUGAAAGAGUAUUUAUGUGUUUG